GAGUAGUAAUAGAUAUAGUCUUGAAACUUAAAGAAUUUGGCGGUAUUUUAAUCUAUUCAGAGGAACCUGUUCUAUAAUCGAUAAUCCACGUUGGACUUUACUUAAAUUUGUUUAUCAAUAUGUAUACCGCCGUUAUAGAUUAUCUUAUUAGAGAAAUAAUUUUCUUAUUUUUAUAAAAAUAUAUCAGGUCAAGGUGCAGUUUAUAUUUAAGGAAGAAAUGGGUUACAAUAAAAUGAUUUAUAUGAAUAAAAAAUUGAAAUAUUUUUUUGAAGGUGGAUUUGAUAGUAAAAUUAUGUAGAUAAUUAAUUUGAUUAUAGCUCUAAAAUAUGU
rnacentral:rRNA from 1 species